UACGUAGGGUGCGAGCGUUGUCCGGAAUUAUUGGGCGUAAAGAGCUUGUAGGCGGUCUGCCGCGUCUGCUGUGAAAAUCCGGGGCUCAACCCCGGACUUGCAGUGGGUACGGGCAGACUAGAGUGUGGUAGGGGAGACUGGAAUUCCUGGUGUAGCGGUGAAAUGCGCAGAUAUCAGGAGGAACACCGAUGGCGAAGGCAGGUCUCUGGGCCACUACUGACGCUGAGAAGCGAAAGCAUGGGGAGCGAACGGG
rnacentral:rRNA from 1 species